AUUGAACGCUGGCGGCAUGCCUUACACAUGCAAGUCGAACGGUAACAGGUCUUCGGAUGCUGACGAGUGGCGAACGGGUGAGUAAUACAUCGGAACGUGCCUAGUAGUGGGGGAUAACUACUCGAAAGAGUGGCUAAUACCGCAUGAGAUCUACGAAUGAAAGCAGGGGAUCGCAAGACCUUGUGCUACUAGAGCGGCCGAUGGCAGAUUAGGUAGUUGGUGGGAUAAAAGCUUACAAAGCCGACGAUCUGUAGCUGGUCUGAGAGGACGAUCAGCAACAUUGGGACUGAGACACGGCCCAGACUCCUACGGGGGGCAGCAGUGGGGAAUUUUGGACAAUGGGCGAAAGCCUGAUCCAGCAAUGCCGCGUGCAGGAUGAAGGCCUUCGGGUUGUAAACUGCUUUUGUACGGAACGAAAAGCCCCGGGUUAAUACCCUGGGGUCAUGACGGUACCGUAAGAAUAAGCACCGGCUAACUACGUGCCAGCAGCCGCCGUAA
rnacentral:rRNA from 1 species